rnacentral:rRNA from 1 species
GAUGAACGCUGGCGGCGUGCUUAACACAUGCAAGUCGAACGAUGAAGCCCAGCUUGCUGGGUGGAUUAGUGGCGAACGGGUGAGUAACACGUGAGUAACCUGCCCUUAACUCUGGGAUAAGCCUGGGAAACUGGGUCUAAUACCGGAUAGGAGCGUCCACCGCAUGGUGGGUGUUGGAAAGAUUUAUCGGUUUUGGAUGGACUCGCGGCCUAUCAGCUUGUUGGUGAGGUAAUGGCUCACCAAGGCGACGACGGGUAGCCGGCCUGAGAGGGUGACCGGCCACACGGGGCCACGGACACGGUGAAGGCGACAACGGGAGGCAGCAGGGGGAGAGCGGGGACACGGGGCGGCAGUGGGAGGGAGCAACGUCGCGUGAGAGAAGAAGGGCGUAGGGGAGGAAACCGCAGGGAGUGGGGAAGAGGAAGAGGGAGUGAACAGCGGGGUGGAGUGACGGUAGCUGAUGAAGAAGCGACGGCUAACUACGUG